UUAAGAUUUGCUCUAUUGAACCUAUAGGUUAUAUGAUUAAUUGAAUGUGUAGAGAUUUGGCACACACUAGAACCUUUUCUGUCUGUGCACGAGAAUGCAUAUUCACUUGAUUUUCAUAGCAUGUUAAAUUGAUUAAAACUUUGAAAGUUAUAGAAGCUGUAAAAAAAAAAAAAAAACGAAAAAUAUGGGAAAAACAUGUAGCAAAGCACAUCCUGUGACACAUGCUAUGGUAUGUACAGGGUGCUCAAAUGUUGAUCCUUAUAUCACAUUUAUGUGUGUGAAUUAUGGGGAAGGAUGUUUGAACCAAUAUGAUGUAUGGGUUAAAGAAUGUGGUUUCCUAGAAAAAGAUAGUUUUCUCUUAGACAGUUAGAACAACUGAAAUUUAACAUGGAAGCAAAGGAGAGAGAUAUUCCUAAAAGUAAAAAAAAAAAAAAAAUAUGCACAGUUUUUGGCUGACUGGAAGGCAUUUGCUGAAUGGCAGAGCGAAGCACAUAAAAGAGAGAAAAAAUGUCAGGCAGGGCCUUCAUCUGUUUCUCAGUGUGCUAAAUUGCAGAAAGCCGAUCCUGACCUGGACUCCGCCCCACUGUGACGCCCACAGCCAGUAAGGAGGAAGGGACCUGCAGUUUCAGAGGCACUUGCUCACGAUGAAGCGGCCCAGCCUACGCCACUCUAUCCGAACCUGUCAGACCUGAGCCACUAACCCCCCACCAAACUAGGCACCUGGGAACAGAAGAGAAGCACCACUCAGAGAGAUGGCAUAUGGCAAUGACAGGUUGGACAGCUCAUUCUCAGAGGGAGAAGGGGAACCACAUGAUUGUGUGGUUCUGACUAACGAACUCUGCUCCCCUAGAGUCGACCUGAAGGAUGUUUCAUUGGAAAACCCAGAUCUGAUCCUUUUUGUGGACGGUUCAGCAUCACGUGAUCCAGAGACAGCUUUCAGACCUCCAAGCACGAGCUACGGUGGAGGAAAAGGCUGUGUGGUGCAAAGCAGGCCGCACGGUUGUUGAUGGAGUUUGGCGGUGCCCCCAGGACUGUCCUUGUCUUCAAAGUUGAUGCAUGGCAGGGACCAUGCGUCUAAAGGGGGCAUAAUAGUUGCAUUAAGCAUUGGUUUCUGUAAUUACUCAAAAACAAAAAAAAAAUUAUUUACGAUUUUUGCGCAACUCAUAAUGUGGGUUGAGGUUUGAAGGCAGAGAAGGCCAUGUCCCUACAUCCAAACAGGACUCAGACGCGGUAGUGAUAAUGGCACACCUUUUGUGAGCCAUGCCCUUAAGUAGGUGGGUGAAUAUUUGGGUAUUGACUUAAAGCAGCACUGUGCGUAUCAUCCAGCUAGUGGUGGGGUGGUAGAGAGAGAAAAUGGGACACUAAAAAACAAACUGAGCAAAUGCUGUUCUGAAGCAAAUAGGAUGGGCUUAGCCCAUUUGGGAUACAGUUUGGGAGACCUCCACACACAGGAAUUGGACCUGUGACAGCUCUUCUUCCCGACGCUGCAGCAUGUGAUGAUGCAAUGUUAAAUUACUGUGCAAUCCUGUCCUCUGCUCUGCAUUCUAUCCACGAGCAUGUAAAGGCAGCGCUUCAAGCUCCAGCCAUGGGUCCGCUGCAUGAUCUGAAGCCCGGAGAGUGGAUCGUGAUCAAGGACUUCCGCAGGACCAGGUGGAACAAGCCACGGUGGUCCCAGAUAAGCCCACAAAAUUCUUUAGUAGACUAUUGCUGCAGAUUGGACGUCAAUUAGUAGUUAAAAGCCCGUAUGAUGUUGGCCGCCUCUGUAAUCCGUUCUGUUUCACCUUUCGUCAGAAGAAUCACUGCCAACAGUGCUACUUGCACAACAUCACAUGUCACCUCAUCACGCAGACACAUAAUGGUUAUUCUAUCAUUGAACACAUGCGAUCUGCAAUAUGCAACCGUCCGCAGAUUUGCGAGACGGGGUUUGAUUGGCUGAACUCAGUACUCGGGGGAUGGGACUCGUGGAUAUUAACCGUCUGCCUACCAAUAGGUGCAAUGAUUCCUCAUGUCUUGCUCUUCUUGCCUUUUAUUGUUUCUCUCAUUCGGAGCAGUCUCUCACGCUCAUUGAAAUCACUAAUGACCAAACACUGAUGUUGACAAAGACUGAUUAUGAUCCCCAUGAUGACCAAUUUGACUUGUAUCCUAAACCUGACUGGGUAUCAGAUUCUCCCAGCAACACUGACGAUGACGUCCCAUUGACAUCCAUUUCAAACCUAUUGUAAAUAUUCCUUUGACCAUGAUGAAUCUUAUUUCACUCUAAAAUAAGCUUGCUUGACGACAGGAUACUUUAUAUCCGCAAAAACAGCCUUAGCGCCUUCAUUAUGUCUGUAUAAUGAUGAAUUCAGUUGAACUGUGAAAGGUUUCUGAAGUUCUGAUGUACUCCCAGCAUAAUAAUUUCUCUGUUAAUUUUAGUUAUCAUAUUUUGUAAUGAUAAAAUGGGGGAAAUUUGAGAGAAAUUAUUCAUUUUUACGUAUUCAUAGUUUUGUUCUUGUUCUGUUCAUGUUCAUCUGAGGAUAACGCCUAAGAAGGCCAUGUCACAUCACUGAGAUCAGUACAGAAUGUUGAUCUGUUUAAAGAGGCACAAACAUGUUCUUCUGUUCAAGGUUCGUCUGCACAUCUUCAAGACCCUAAAACAAAGCCUGUUUGAACUGCCUCAACCUGCUUCUUAUCUGUAUACAGAAGUGUGUCAUGAUCUGCGUUUCAUACAUAUAGUAGUGGCUCAGCACAAGCGCUUCAGAGCACUCUCAUUAUUCUAUCCUGCUUUAUUCUAUCCUGUAUUAGCCAUCUUUCUGUAAUAAACCUUUUUACCUUCA